CCCAUUCAGAGAGAUUGCCUCCCCUUCUCCGCCCCCGCGAAACCCUCGCCUCAGUGUUGGUGUGUCUGUCUCCCUGCUUCGAAUCCUCUCGAAUCUGCGCUUCGCUUGCACGCCGUGACAUCGCUCUGCCGCAUUCUAGCAACGUGAGAGCGGGGAGCUGCUGAUGGUGAGAAUCGGUUUGCACAACAUACAAUGCGCCGAAGUGAAUACCUCAGGAUGACAUAGUGAGAUUCGGUCUUCUCUUUUUUUGGUUCCGACAUAGUUACCGACAACGUGAAUACCGCAAGAUGUUGCAGCUUCUCGUCUUGCAAAUCCACUGUUUCCUGCAGAUUCCUGGUACUCGCUGCAAGGAGCAACAUUGAUCACUAAAGAUCUCUUUGCAUUUCCUGGACAUCAACUAUUGCUAAGUUUUUUGUUGUAUAAUAUGAUGAUACAAAGCUAGAGCCUGCCCCACAACUCUGUGUGCAAGCAAGCUAGCAAUUCCAUCUGUAAAGCUCCAACGAUUUUAAUUUACUUGAGGACUUGUGAUAAUCAAACAUUUCAAGAAUCUAUAAUAUUUUCAAUAAACAAAGGAGUAUACUCAAGAAUCAAAUACUAGUUAUUUUGUAAGGUAUGAGCAUCAAUCACUAUGAUUUUUAUGAUUUUGUAUAAGUCAUUAGACAUUUGAAAUGAACAUUUAUGUAUUAUUUUAUUUGUAUGUACAAAUAUUUGUUAUGUUAAAAAUGAUGGUAAAAAACUACUAAAAGAAUUAUAAAUGUAAGUAGAAAUUGUUUUUAUUCAUGUGAAAUAUAUUAGUAGCAGCUUCGUUAUUUUGAUGAAGCUUUUGGAUGAAUAAAAACUAUUAAAGUGUAUUAAAUUUUGUAAUAAGAUUGUAAUUAUGUGGUUGAAGGCAAAUUACACAUAUCAUUUAAAUAUUUAUUAUGGCUUAUCUUUUGAAAUUCCUAGUAAAGUGUGUUUUAAUAAUUUGGUGAUUUUUAUUUGCUUGUUAUACAUUGGGAUCUCUAAUUAUUAAAGAAUUUUAUUUCAAGGAAGAAAAGUUGAUAUUGGAGAUGUGCUCACUCAAUGCCAUAUUUACAACAAAGAAAUUGAGGUAUUAUUCAGGACCAAAUUCUUCUUGAAUAGAAAUCAAUGUCAUAAUAUCUACAAACCACUUGGCCAUGUUAUUAAAGUAUUUGAAAGCUUUAAAACUUGUAGCAAUGAAAGAAAUAAGUAUGAACUUUUAUUUUGUGAAUUUCAAGAUACAACAUUUAAUAUAUAUAAAUUGAUAAAAAAUUGUAGGCAACAAUGUUGGUGUAAAGCAAGUAUCUUUUAAAUGAAAAAUAAAGAAAUGUUUAGGAAACUAUUGUGUGACUUGAAGAUUUAUCAUGAUUUGGGAGUUGAUCUACUUUCAAAUGAGUGUCUAGAAAAGUUAGAAGACAUUAUAUUUAUAUUGUUUGAUUUUUCUACUUAUGAAGAAGUGAAAUAUGAUUGUAAAGAACUUUAUAAGAGAUUGGAUUAUGCAAGUAAAGAUAUGUAAUUUAAAGAUUAUGGAUUAGCAAAUUCUCUAUUAGAUAGAUUAAAGGACUUGCAAUGUGUAGAAGAAGAAGAAUUGAAGUUUUUGGUAGUAUCAAGUGAUAUCAAAAAUUUAGAACUUGGAAAAUCUAUAAAUGAUGGUUCUUUUGGAGAAGUUUAUGAAUCAAGGUGGUUUGGACUUUUAA